UACGUAGGGGGCAAGCGUUGUCCGGAUUUACUGGCGUAAAGAGCGCGCAGGCGGUCGUUCAAGUCGAGUGUGAAAGCCCCCGGCUCAACUGGGGAGGGUCACUCGAUACUGAUCGACUCGAAGGCAGGAGAGGGAAGUGGAAUUCCCGGUGUAGUGGUGAAAUGCGUAGAUAUCGGGAGGAACACCAGUGGCGAAGGCGACUUCCUGGCCUGUUCUUGACGCUGAGGCGCGAAAGCUAGGGGAGCAAACGGG
rnacentral:rRNA from 1 species